AUGGUCGGUUUUGCCAAUUGCAAAAUGUGAGUUCAAGGAUCUCAGAGUUCAGAUGUAACAGAACGUCUGGGCAAGGAGAGCUGUUUCCCGCCACAUUCAAUUCAAAAUCAAUAUGAACUAACUUUUCAGCUGAGCUUAUGGAAGUUAACGGAAAUGGAAGCAUGCAUUCAUAGAUGUAUUUCAAGGAGAAAAUUGAGAACCGAUGAAGCAACACGAGCACCAGUAGUUUAGGCUGAUCGAAAAGGACACAAAUAGUGGUUGCAGUGCUUGUUAAAUAAUUUUUAAAAGGUUUUUAUAUGUUUUCCCAACGGAGCUCACACGCGGGUGAGUACUGUACGCGAAUCAUGUGGUUACAAACAGUACCCAAAUUAAUCGCUUAAUUUAUUUUAACUUUCAGCCAACAAAAAUAAAUUAAGUGUGACAAAGUCAAUAACGAUUGUGUGCUGCGUCUUAUUGCGGUGUUUCUUGCGAGUGGACUGAGUGGCAGCAACUCUAUCUCCUGCAAUGCUUCGUUUGCUUAGAUGGAGCACCAGCACUAACACCGCACGUCGUCUCCUCUCACAGAUACUGAUGCAGCUGCUAACACAGAUACAAAUUAAAAUACAGCACCAACACACAGAUACAUGUGCAAGUGCGUCACUGAUUCAAGUGUAUAGCUACAGAUCACGAACAGUCAGCGAAGGCGGGCAGAUCGAAGAUGGCCAUAUAAUAUACAAUAUACACAACACACACUCACACAUACAUAUUUAAGAUACUUUUUGCCCUUAGAUCUGGCGUUUUGGCUACUUUUCCGCUACAACCGAAUAAGGCUCAGCUGCCUCGAUCUGGUCCAAUGGCAGAGGCCUCUGCAUACUCGCUUCGCUAGUGCUCCAGCCCCCGCCAAAAUAAAAUUUCGUGCGACGACGACCCCAAACUAUUUUAUAUAAUAUAGAGAUAAUUAUAUCGUAUGUAAAUCUCGGAUAGGAAAAUUGGUUAUAAUAAAAAAAUCUU